GGGCGUGGAGCGGCGGCGCGGCGGUCAGCAACCCCCAAGCGACCCGAUUGGCAUCGACUCAUCAACAUGCGAGUGAUUACCAUUGUGGGGGUGGUGUCAUAUUGGAGGGCUUUAUUCCUCGCUGAAUAUUCCUCCCGGUUUGCCGUGGUUGGUGAUGCUUAGCGCAGAGGUCGCCAGUUCCGCACUGGACGUCCCCGCGUGGCAGCUGAAACAACCGCGCGCGGCGUUCUUAAAUCUCCAUCGGCCUCUCCUCCGUCCGCAGCAGCGCGAAUUAAAACGGCGCUAUGAGUCUAUCGGCAAGGUCAUCGUCGUGGGGUGAACCUAUGUGCGUGUGUGAGCAUGUGCGUGUGUGAGUAUGUGCGUGUGCGAGUUCCACCAGUGCGGCAAUCCGAUCCGCGCUGGAGCAUAUCCCUGCCGGGCUGGACGGCGGACAAGUUGGGUGUCCCUUUGCAGGAGCCAUCUCAAGCCACGGCCCCAGCACCCACCUCGCCGCCCCCCCCCCCCCUCCCGUUGGACCCAUGUCACACGUCGCGCUUUCA